AUGUCAUGCCUCAUUAAACCGGACAUGCAUCAUACUUGCUUGUGCAUCAUGCUAUGCUUAUGUGAUGGUUGUUUACCAUGUUGUUUGCUUCUUUCCGGGUUGCCUUCGGUUUCGUUCCAGAGUUGUGAGGAUUCGUUCGACUACUCCCGCUCGUCUUCUUCAUGGACUCGUUCUUCUUCCUUGCGGGAUUUCAGGCAAGAUGACCGCUACCCUGGAUCUCACUACUAUCAUUGCUAUGCUAGUUGCUUCGUUCUAUCGCUAUGCUGUGUUACCUAUCUGUUGCUCUUCAAGCCUCCCAAAAUGCCAUGA
rnacentral:rRNA from 1 species